rnacentral:lncRNA from 1 species
GCUAGCAGAGUAAGGGAUAUGUUGUUGGCUUUGGAAAGCUGAGUGGUCAAUUUGGAGGAAUCCAUGGGUUAUGUGUAGCAAACACUUGAGGUAGUUAAGGGACGUAUCGAUGAUUGGAAUCGAUGAAAGAGUAGCUUAGGGAAUAUGUGACGGAGGCUCUUAGUUCCAAUUUGGAUGCGAUAAAAGGGGCUCUCAAUGCC